AAUUGUUGUCAUAUCAUGCCUGAUUGUGAUAACUCUGUAGAUAUUCAUUCGGCAUUAGAUUAGUGAACACUCAAUUUAUGAAAGCCUUCUCCCUAGUGAUUAGCCUAGUCGUGAUUAGCGUGGUGGUGAUUAUUAUCCCACCGUGCGGGGCAGCACUUGGACGACGAAUGGCUUAAAUCAAGCCCGAAUUCAAGAAAACCCCCGCACCGAAAGGUCGGGGGUUUUUUGUUGGGUAGAAUCUAUAACGUAAGGGAACAGAUGAUGGUUAGUCGUGCAACAUUCUGUUAUUCCCGCAACAA
rfam:Brenneria goodwinii strain OBR1 genome assembly, contig: Contig